AGCGAACGCUGGCGGCAGGCUUAACACAUGCAAGUCGAGCGGGCAUAGCAAUAUGUCAGCGGCAGACGGGUGAGUAACGCGUGGGAACGUACCUUUUGGUUCGGAACAACUGAGGGAAACUUCAGCUAAUACCGGAUAAUCCCUUACGGGGAAAGAUUUAUCGCCGAAAGAUCGGCCCGCGUCUGAUUAGCUAGUUGGUGAGGUAAUGGCUCACCAAGGCGACGAUCAGUAGCUGGUCUGAGAGGAUGAUCAGCCACAUUGGGACUGAGACACGGCCCAAACUCCUACGGGAGGCAGCAGUGGGGAAUAUUGGACAAUGGGCGCAAGCCUGAUCCAGCCAUGCCGCGUGAGUGAUGAAGGCCCUAGGGUUGUAAAGCUCUUUUGUGCGGGAAGAUAAUGACGGUACCGCAAGAAUAAGCCCCGGCUAACUUCGUG
rnacentral:rRNA from 1 species